CUCCGUGCAUCUGUCUGCCUCUGUCCAUGUUUAUGAGCUACGGCCGGACGCUUUCCCCCCAAGCCCCAGCUUUCGGAGCCUGCUUCUCCGUCUAUGCGGAUGCGCGCUGCCCCCUGGGCCGGGGGCGUCUCUGGGGCCCGGCAGGGGGGGUGCAUUUGUCUCUGCAGUUGGGGGAAGGGAGGGGGUUGUGAGCGGGCCGGGAGAAGGGGGACGCCCGUGGCUGCCACUCACUCUCCCGGGGACAGGACCCGCCAAUCGGGGCCCGCCGGACCGGACCUGUCCCGGGCUGUGGGGGGUCCCCGGACUGGGCCUCGUAGAGCCGGGACUGAGGAGCAAGAGUACUUGAGGAGGGGGUACCCGGCCGCAGGUCCUGGGGGCUUUACAGGCCGGCAGAGGAGACCAGAUUUGAAACCACGGGUAGCAGGGAGCCAUUGGAGGUUACUGAGCAGGAGAGUGACCGGGCUCUCCAGAGAAAAGGGCGCCCCCCACCUUCCCUCCGCUCAACCAGGGGCCACAGGGAACAGCGGAGGGAGGAGGGAGGAAGGGGAAAGAAGGGGGAGGGGGGCCCUUAGGCCCGGGCAGGCCCGGGCGGGGCUGCGCAGAGAGGGAGGGGCGGAGCCUCGAGAGGCAGUGAAUCAGCAUUCCGUCUGGGUGACGCACGGCACGGCGCGCCCUCCCUCCCCCACUCCCCACGGCGGCGAGUACAACCCGGAGAGAGGGGCGCGCCGCCCAAGGUGGCCCCCACCCCCACCCCUACCUCCACUCCCGCCCCCUGUGGCUCAGUCUCCCCCCCCUCCCCCGGCCCCUCCCUCCUGCUGUAGGUGCCCCGCAGCGAACAGCCUCGCUGUACCCCGUCUCUCCCCUCCUUCAAAGACCGGGGAUCUCUGCGCAAAGCCUCCUGGGAAGCGUAGUCUUUUCCGCAUCAGCCCAGCCGAUGUCAGGGCGCUCGCUCCCUGUUAAGAAAACUACGUAUCCCAGGAGGCCUGGGCGAGGCGGUGACGGGGUAGGACGAGAAGGCUGAAGCGGAGGGGGGGAGGGGGCGCGGGGCGGGGCCUCGCGCUGACGUCUGAAGCGUGGGCGUGGUCGGAGGGGGUUGUUCUCCCGCGGCACGCGCAGCAGCCGCAGCCGCCUCGCGCCGGGUUCCUCCUUUGCAGCACGAGCCUCAGCAGCAGCAGCAGCAGUAGCAGCCGCGGCAGCAGCAGGAGCCGGAGCCGCAGCAACUUCUGCCGCCGUCCCGCCGACGUGGUUGGUCGGGCCGCCGCCCGGGCUCGAGCCGCCGCCGCCGCCCUCGCCGCGCGCACCCUCCCCGCCGCCCCAGCCCGCAGCCCCGCAGCCCCGCAGGAGCCGGCCCGAGCCGUCCCGCGAAGAUGGUGGACCGCGAACAACUGGUGCAGAAAGCCCGGCUGGCCGAGCAGGCGGAGCGCUACGACGACAUGGCCGCGGCCAUGAAGAACGUGACCGAACUGAACGAACCUCUGUCCAAUGAAGAGAGAAACCUGCUCUCGGUGGCGUACAAGAACGUGGUUGGGGCCCGGCGCUCCUCCUGGCGAGUCAUCAGCAGCAUCGAGCAGAAGACGUCCGCCGACGGCAACGAGAAGAAGAUCGAGAUGGUCCGGGCCUACCGCGAGAAGAUUGAGAAGGAGCUGGAGGCCGUCUGCCAGGACGUCCUGAGCCUGCUGGACAACUACUUGAUCAAGAACUGCAGCGAGACACAGUACGAGAGCAAGGUCUUCUACCUGAAGAUGAAGGGGGACUAUUACCGCUACCUGGCAGAAGUGGCCACGGGAGAGAAGCGGGCCACGGUGGUGGAGUCCUCUGAGAAGGCCUACAGCGAGGCCCACGAGAUCAGCAAGGAGCACAUGCAGCCCACCCACCCCAUCCGGCUGGGCCUGGCCCUCAACUACUCCGUUUUCUACUACGAGAUCCAGAACGCCCCGGAGCAGGCCUGCCACCUGGCCAAGACCGCCUUUGACGACGCCAUCGCCGAGCUGGACACCCUCAACGAGGAUUCCUACAAGGACUCAACCCUCAUCAUGCAGCUCCUCCGGGACAACCUAACGCUCUGGACCAGUGAUCAGCAAGACGACGACGGCGGAGAAGGCAACAAUUAAGCCCCCGGGUGGACUGGCAGCCGCACGCUGAUGCUACUACUGCAGUCUUUAUUUUUUUCCCACAAGUUGGGGGGGGUCGGGUGGGGGAGGGGAAGGGAGGGGGUGACCUUCCCAGGGAGGAACCCACGGCCUAUCUUUGAUUGCCUCUUUGACAUUUUUGCCAAAAUACCACUAGUGGAGAGUCGGGCUGGCUGUGCGGGUGUGGAGUGGCAGCCUCACGCUGGCAUACGGACUGUUCUGUAGAUUAAUCCGAGUGGAGCUGUCUUUGAUUUAACUUAUUGCUAGUGAUAGGGUUUUAAGAUGAAAAAAACAACUUGAAUGGAUUGGCCCUCGUUUGAAUAAGUUCUGUGGUUCCAGUAAGAGUUCUAUUUUUUGUUUGAUUCUUUUAAUGUUCAUGUGCUCAUGUCUUGAGUUGUGGGUGCUGUGUAUAGUUCCUGUGUCAUAGUGCUGUACUUCGUGGUGCACGCUACCCGUCCUGGCAUCGCUUCAAUCCCCAACAUGGCGGCUUUUGUAGCCUUAAGACGAGGCCGCGUUAACUUCCGAGACGCCCGUUAGCUUUGCAGUAUUGACACUAAGUUACAGUUUACAGUAUUCUACAUGACAGCCAUACGUGACAUCAAGCCAUCUCUCGUGUCCAUCAUUCGCUUGGGUGUUUGGUGUUCUGUUCUUCCUGAGCCUGCGCUCCCCCGGCAGCCAGUGGCUCGCGGGGGGGGGCAGCGGAGCCGCUCUACGGCGGGGCUCGUGGGUAACUUCAGGUGCUUGGCAAGUGGCGAUGGGAUUUGUCCUCUGUUUUUUUCCUUUCCUGCUCUUUACUCACCAAAACUAGUUACAACACUUUAAUCCCUCUCCUCAAGCCUACUUCUAGUAAACACUUGCCCCUCUCCCCCAAAAUAGAGAAAAUUCAGUUCUGUAUGUCACGUGUUGUGUUGGUUUUCCAGGGUGGCACCACAGCUCCUUCCUCAGGGAUUACACUGCCAGUCCCCUUUCACUUGACUCUCUCUCACUGUACCUUCAGUCCAUGGCAUCGGUCACCUGUUGGAUUAUGUGUGAGCUCAGUGGCCCCUCUAGGAGGCCUGGGGUAGGUACAGUGAGAGGAACUUCAGGUGCUAGAAGUCCAUUUGGUAGAGAAAUCCACAGUGGAAGAGCGAGGUUCAUAUGAACACGACCCUAGGAAAUUGAGGGAGCCCUGCACCUGUCCAUUCUUAUAGAAAAAAAGGGAAAUGUCAACCCUGCCCCUUCCGGCCAUCCCCCAAAUUCAUUUAUUUAAUCAGAAAAUAAAUGGAUACAGAUCAUGACCUGAUAAAUUUAACUGAAAGGCUUGUUUUCUUUUGACCUUUCCAACGUUUCAAAAAAUCAAAGCAGAGGAAAUUGGAGGUUGACUCCCAUUUCCUUCUAAUUUAGUUAGUAGAUCAACAAGCAUUGAUCGAGUGCUUACUAUGUGCCUGGCACUGUGCUGAGUGCUGGAGAUGGAGCUUUACUUGAUUGGGAUAGAAGGAAGAUGCAGGACUCUUGUCACCAAUUGGUUUCCAGUAAGCUUCGAGUCCUUUUGGAGAAACCAAUCAAUAAACAUGAUAUAUCAGUGUUGCUUAUGUGUUAUGUUCAGUUUUUUUUUUCCUCAAAAACUGCCAUAAUGUGUCUGAAGUCUCAUGGUCACAGUUAUUUUGGCUUUUUGUCCCCUCAUUUAAAGAGGAAUAAGUAAUUAAUUGAAUGAAAAAAUAGCUGACAAAUAUUUCUGCUAAAUUGAUAUACCAAAAUUUAUAAUCGUGAAAACUGGACCCAAAUGCCAGUGAAGUCAGAAGAAAUCAUUCUUGUAACGUGGAAUAAAUGUAUUAUGUGUAACAUCACAUAGUCUUCCCUCCAGUGACUCCCUUUAGAAAUUCAUCUCCAUGAACUAGAGGGAAAAUCCCAAUUCAAUGUCCCCUAUUGAAAGGACAAACGGAAAAAGUCUGGAUUCCUGCUUACGCUGCCAGUUGAUACGUUGAGUAGAUGCCAUGGAGUGAUGAGUUUGGAUGGGAAGGAGAGGGGGUGUGGUUCUUUUUUACUUUAAAAUAAUUUAAAUUCAUGUUCAGAUGUGAGCAGUGUUGUCCCUACCUGUAUAACUUGGAAGUAAUUUACUGGAAUUACAAAACCUAUUUUUUUUUUUUUUUUUAAACUUCAGCUUUGGCUCUGGCUGCUUUUAGUGAACCCUUCAGACCAUGAUCACACAGAGGCUGGGACGAGUGGGGAUGGGGAUUGGAUUCUUAAGCAGCUUCAUUGAUCUUUCCUCUUUGGUUUUAAUUUUUUUGUUGUUGUUGUUUUAUUUUUGUUUUUUAAGAAAUGCACUUGCCUAUGAUACUGUUUCUCCAGUGAAAUGACUGCUCCUCCAUUACUCUAUUGAUACCAUAUUGUGCAUGCUAGUGUUGUAUUUCUAUACAGUAGCUUGAGAUUUAUUAACUUAUACUGUAGAUGUUAUGUAUUCCUAUGACAAAAAAAAAUUAAGUCUUCAAAAAUUUUUUAAAGUUUUUUAAUUUAUUUUUUUCUUUUGGGGGUAAAGUUCGCUCUACCAAAUAGUGAUCGUAACAAAUUGAUCUGUUAUGGAUGUUGCUAUAGUGACAUGCAAUUAUAUCUUAUUUUGUUUCUAAAAAGGAAAACAAAGCAAAAGAAGCACCAGUAUUAGCUUAAUCUUAAUGUCUGGUGUUUGUUGUCACGGUGAGAUUCUAACUAUCACAGUGUAGGAGAACAAUGACUAUGUUCUUGGAAUGAGCCUUUGUGCUUUUUGUCAUGUUAUGCAGUGAACUAUUUUUAAGGUCUAAUCAGUGAUUAUUUUUCAACUCCGUGUUUCUGUAAGGAAUUAUUUCACACACGGACCAUUCUUAGCGGUUUUCCUCAGUGAUGGAAUAUCAUGAAUGUGAGUCAUUAUGUAGCCGUCGUACAUUGAGCAAAUAAACUUACAGAUCUGAUGUCAGUGCGUACUUGACUGUGUUCUGUGUCUUGUUGAUUCUGCGUUUUCUACCGAGAUUCACGCCUGC
rnacentral:lncRNA from 1 species